GUUAGGAGUGUAAGAGACUGCUUAUGUAUAAGUGCUUUGUCGUCGUGAUUUACAACGCAACAGCGGUAGAGUCUGGAAUCUGACGGCACAAGGGGCACUUAGAUCCGGGCAGACUGAAAACCAAAAAUGGAGUCACCAUUGCACAGAGCCUAGAAUGAGAGCAUUCCUCGCUGCCCACCCGUCUCUCUCUUCUCCAAGCAGAUUCUCCCCAGGACCUUCCUGUUGAGCUCGUUGUCGAAUGUUCCCAUUCUCAGAUGAUUCAGGCUCACUUUCUUUGUGAUGCUUCAGAUGUCUAACACAGAACUGCUGCCGUAUUUAGAAACCUCUGAGCAGCACCAUGGAAUGUGGACCUGCUUCCUGCAGCUCAGCUCCCUAGGUGCAAGACACAAGUGCCAGCCACUUCUCAUGGCAAAUCGGCUUGAUCCACCCGCACCAACAGCGACAGCAACAGGCCAAAUAUAGGCUGGGGUUCACGUUGGCUGGGGUAAGCGAGCUCACGCACUGAAGGAGGACGAGCUAGGACAAGUCGCUCACCACUUAGCCUAAUUGCCCUUUAUGGGUUUAGGGCUGUCUCCCUGCAGGAAGGAAAGAACGUGUGAGAUUCUGUGAACAUAUUUUCCUUUUCUCACUCCACACUCUCUCCUCUGGGUGAUCUCAUCCAGUCGCACCCUUUCUGAUGACUUCUAGAUCUCUAUCUUCAACCGAGAUGUUUUACCUGAGGUCUAAGCUACCUCCUGUUGACAGCUCUGCUCACUUGGAUGCUCCCAGGAUACUCAAACUCAACAGGUGCCAGGUCGGCGUCCUCACCUGCACACGCGCAGACCAGCUGCUCCCGUCCGCUGCCUCCCUCCGUUGCCGUGAGACUGCCCUGAAGGUUAUCACACAAGAGGGGCUCCUGCUGAGCGAGGACAGCACUCUCUGCGCCAAGAUCUCUCUGGGCCACCUCGUGAGAGCCUCAGAACUUUCCUACAGAGCUGGGACCUUUACCUCCACUUUUAAGGAGGAGGUUCUGAGAGGUGAGGCACCCACCUGCCUAAAGUGACAGAGCCAGGGUUCUAACCCAGGGGAUCGCGUUCCACGACGUAACCACGACGUGCCCACCAUGGCCUUCACUUCUCCCUUGCCACGACUUCAGUCCCGAGGUAACUUUCCGAUGCAGCUUACUUUCAGGAUCUCAAGGGCAAAAAGUUUCCCAGCGUGGACUCCACUACCCACACGAAGCUUCCUUCUCGGGAUGGGCUCCGGGCAAAUGCGGAGGAGGUGCCGAUGGAUGAUGUCAAGUCCGAGGGCCCAAAUGUCUCGCUUUCUCAGUUAGUGGACUUUUAAGUGCCACACAUGAAAGUGUUACCAAUGUUGGGAGUUACAGAUGUAAUGUCAAUACAUAACCAUUCCUUCCAGAUUUUUUUUUUUUGCAUCAAACAUGUAUGUAUGUUAAUCUCAGGGAGGAAGAAAAGAAGGGAAAGUGGGAAAAUAAAACAACAAUGGAGUAGGGAAAAAAAGAGGAAAAGAAAAGAAAUUGUUUAGACUUGUCUCUGGCCAUCCAGGCUAACCAGCUCCCUGGGCAGAGGCCCCUACUGCAGUCCCACAGGCCGUCCUUAGACUGGGGUUCCUGCCUGGCUAACGACCGGGCCUUCAUCUCUGUAGUGCCUGCUCAGAACGUUGAACAGAGAUGGAGCUCAGCAAAGGUGGUGGGUUGAGUCAAAUGUGGGCCAGGAUACGCACAGUGUGCUGCUACUCGGCCAGUUCGAGGCUAACAGUCCCCGAGACUUCUCCCUGUUGAGGUGUGAGGUCAUUCUUAGCGAGACUAAGAUUUUAGAGACUUGAGAAGAAGAAUGAUGUCAUGAUUUAAGCAGUUCUCGAGGAAACACAUGGGGUUUCUCGGCCAUAUAUUCUCAGCUUUUUGGCUCAUUUGGCACAUCUCCAUGCUGAAUGUGAAAGCAAAUGUCAAGCGUGGUUAUUAUAUAUGGAGAAUUUCACCUCCCGGGACUCACAUCCCUCAUCUGGAAAUGAGAGGUAGACCAGAUGUUCCCUACGGGCUCUCUCGCACUCCUGCUCGCUGCUUUGUGUAUUUUGGACAGUUAUAUUUCACUUUUCAUUUACUACAAACUGAAAAGAGUGAAAAAGGACAACAUCCAGCCUCCCAUUUCCCAACCACGGUACAGCUCACCUACAAAUGGGAUGUCUACAGGAUUAUGUUACCUCGGACGGCAUAAAAAGAAGAGGUCAGCAUUCUGAGGAGCCGCUUGGGUUGUGGCCUUCCAGAUAAGCCCCGUGGGCAGGCAUUCGCAACGACUGCCCUGUGUCAUGGACAAAAGGAUUAUUCCAGGCCUUUUGAGAAGCCAAAACCAGCUAUGGUAUUCCAGCACUUCUAACUCUAUUUGCAUUUUCAGCCAGGAUGUGUGUGUUGUUUUUUAGUUCUUUCUGUGUUUUAUUUUUCCUUUCCUUUUCAAGCAAGUAAUUUAUAAAUGACAUUUCCUUAGGCCUCUUUUAUUUUUGAAGUUACACAAUAUUGCAAAUAAACUCUCGGAUGCUCAA